AAAGAACCAAAACCAUAAGCCAUCCUUAUUUCUUUAUCUUCCUCUCAUCUCCAUAUCCUCCUCCCCUGUCUAUCCCUCUCCUCUAUUCUUCUAGCAGCUCAGGCAAAGUAGCAAACGUCGCCAGCCUACGAGCAGCCGGCAAUCAGGCGCCGCCUCCGAUUCAUUCUUUUCGCCAGCAAGCGAAGGCUGCGCCGGCCACAAACAGUGCGAGGUUCAGCUCCGACCGGCGAGCGUACUUUUGUCUUAUCCUCCACUUCAGUGAUGUCAACAACAACAAACAGCAUCUCCAGCUGCUCUAACUUGUGUUGAACCUGUGCUAUCAAUGAAAGACUCACAAAUAAGAUUAAAAUAAAGAAAACUUCUGCGAAGAUAAGUAUAUAUACUAAUUUAUUUAUAUUUAGUUUCUUGUUUCUAUUUUGUAAAACAGAUGAGCUGAAAGCCCCUCAGGAUGAAGUACGAAAAUAAAAUCUAGUAAAAGGGGCGGAUCUAUUAAGGCCAGUGGAGUUGGCACGCCACCCACGAGCUCCGACGGAAACUUUAUACAUACAUACAUAUAUAUAUAUAUAUACAUAUAUAUAUAUAUAUAUAUAUAUAUAUAUAUAUAUAUAUAAGUGUCAUCUUAUUAUUGUUUAUAUUUUGUUGUUUGAUUUGUCAUAUACACCGGUAAGACAAAUAAUUUGAUUCAACUCCUAAACUGAUUUGAUCGAUAAAUUUACUUGGCACCCAUAGACUCUAAAUCCUAGAUCCGCCUCUGUAUGCUACACAUGUCUCUGGUCCAAAUAUAAUGGGAAAGGACAUAACAAUAUAACAUACAGUAAAAUUGUAAACAAAUUCUCAACUUUUCCCUAUUUUUGAUCAAAGCUUACUUCUCUCAACUAAUGUGAUGUAAUCAACUACUACCAUAAAAAAAUUGUUGUUCUACUGCAAUGUGUUUCAAUAACUAGAGAAUGCUUCUCUAUGAAAUCAAGAAAGUUUAUAAUGUUAGCUCUAGAACAAAGGUUUAUUGGAUAAGCAUUACAAGAAAUAGAGAUAAAUCAGUAACAACGACUUAGCUCUUGUCCUUUUCAAUUAUUACCCCUCUAGUAUAUUGAAUAUAUGGUGCUCAUUUGCUUACUCUUUCUUGUAGGAUUUUGAUAAGGAAAUAUGUUUGAAGGAAAGAGGUCUUGGCGUAGUUGGAAUACUCUAACAAUAAUAGUCUAAAUUUGUUGUGAUUUAUCAACACACUUUUAAUAUUUUUAAUGAUUGUAGAUGAAACGAACACAUCAAGAAAUCUUUUAUAUUGUUUUUUCUGGAUGAUUAAGCUUAUGGCUCCUUAUUUUUAAUUGCAACUGAUUUUGGACCCUUCUGAAAUGACGUCUCUUGUUGUGUUUGAAUGUGGCUAUUCUCUUGCAAAUUUGAGUAUCGGUCUCGAUCUAUACCGAUGACUUGAAUAGUGCUCAGAAGCAAAAAUGAAUGUUCGGCUACAAUGGGGCCAGAUGAAGUUGCAUAAGCAAUAUGUUAACUCUUUGCAUCUUGUUGUUACUAGCCAACUAUCAAAUUGAGUCUCCUGUGAUGAACAUUGCACACUAGGGAAAGUGUGAGUUUUGUUUGAAAUUGGUGUCAAUGUCUUGGGUGAUGAGAUUAUAGUGAACCAUGUGCGAUGAAACCUAUAAAAAACCCUGUUGAUCAAGUUAACUUAGUGAUGCAAUUUCUUGAUAUUAUAUUAGGAAACUUUGAAGAGUGUGAAAUAGUUUGACAUCAUACCUCUUUUUGUGGCUUACCUUGUGAGUGUGUGAAGUCUGCUUGAACAUCUUUCGAGCCUUAACCUUUUCUUAGAAGAAAUAUGAUGAAAUUGUGACUAUUCUUGGUCCAUUACCCAUAAUCCUCAUGAUCUGUGGUUUAUGUGAAUAUCAACUUAGAGCAAAAGUUUAAGUUGAGGGUGUGGUGAAAAGAAAAGGCAAAUCAAAAAAUGCAAAGAAGUCCCCUUUAACCUGUGAUUUGGAGAAAGAUGGAACCCUUCCAUAAAAGAAAGAAUAAAAGAAUGAAAAAGAAAAAAGAGCGAAAAAGUUGUGAAAGUGCAAAGAAAAUGGUGUUUCCAACAGUCCAUGGAAAGUGAAUAAUGGGAUGACUUGUAAGCACGAAUGAAAAUGACGAAGAAAAGGAAAGAAAGUAUUGUACACACCACAUUUCAUGAGGAUUAAAACCAUUGAGCCUAGAUGACCUUACCCUUGCACUCAACCCCGUUACAAGCGUUGAAAAGAACUUUUUGAUCUUGAGUGAGCUGAAACAAUUGUUGGCUGGAAAAUAAGGGAAAACUUAUUGGUAAAAUCAUGCAUUAUGUUCAUCUUUGUGAGUGUGAGUGUUGCAUUUAAUUCCAAAGCUUUUAAUUGUUGAACCAUAGUGUGUGAAUAUGAAAUCAUUCUUAUUGUGAGGGCAUUUGAGUACCUUUGUUGAGCUUAAAUUUGCAUUUGGAGCAGCUACUCCGAACUUGAGAUUCUUUGAUAAUGGUGAGUCACAAAUUGAAUCUUUGAGUGCACAAUUGAUCCCUGCAUGAGUAACUUAAUCCUUUUUGUGUGUUUUUAUGAUUGAAUCUUGUGUAGCACUAUUUGAGACAUCCUUUUCGAGCUGCUAAACAUAAGGACAAGCAAAGUUUAAGUUGGGGACAUUGAUGAUUCCACGAUUUGGACUCAUUUAGGGAUUUAUUUUAAUAGAUUCAGUGUCCUCAAAUGCAUAUUUUGUUCCAAUAAUUGAUGUAAUUGAUUUUUAGGCAUUUGGAUUGAGUAAUAAAGCAUGCACAAUAGUGAGCAAAAAGAAACAAGGCAACCUAAAGAACGAAGAAAAGAAGUCCUGAUGAUCGUCUAAACCAUUGGUAGAGUCACCAAAUGGCCUUGGUCUUGCCUAAUGUUUCAGUGUGCCAAGCCCUGAAGGAUAAAAUCAAGUCAGUGAUAGGAAGGAACAGUCAGCAAGUCGUCGAACGGUUCCAUGAUACAGUACUAUAUCAUCCAAAGUUACUAAACAUGAAGAUGUAUAAGGCCAAAAGCAAAAAGGCGAUGGAAUGGACCAAAGGGAGGUAAUGGAUCGGCGAUCGCGACUUAUUGCACCUAGUAUACCUCAUGGUCUAUGUCGGUUAAAUAUAGCCCGCACAAAAGAAUGUAAUAAACUAAGUCUUCCAAAGGUUGUACUACUUAGGGUGGUGGUGGUAUGGGAUGCUAUCUACCCAUUGCACAAGUAAGCAUUUAGAGGGAGUCUUGGUGUGUCCCUAUAUGAAAUGUAGGAAUGGGUCAUUAUGUGAUGUAAAUGAAGUUAUGUGACUUAAUGUCUAAUGUUAAAAAUUUUUUUAAGAUUA